GAUGAAGAACGCAGCGAAAUGCGAUAAGUAAUGCGAAUUGCAGAAUUCAGUGAAUCAUCGAAUCUUUGAACGCACAUUGCGCCCGCCAGUAUUCUGGCGGGCAUGCCUGUCUGAGCGUCGUUUCGACCCUCGCGCCCGGCUUCUGUCGGGGGCGGUGUUGGGGAUCGGCCACACCCUUCAGUGGGAGGCCGGCCCCUAAAUUCAGUGGCGACCACGCUGUAGCCUCCCCUGCGUAGUACUAAACCACCGCGCAGGCGGAGAGCGGUGCGGCCCGCCGUAAAACCCCCCAACUUUUACAAGGUCGACCUCAGAUCAGGUAGGAAUACCCGCUGAACUUAAGCAUAUCAAUAAGCGGAGGA
rnacentral:misc_RNA from 1 species